CACAGGGAUGAGGCAUUAGCUGGGGCGGUGAGUAAAUGUUGACGGCAUUUUCGAUCUUUUAAUAUUUGUAUACUAAGUUUUUUUUGUUGCAGUUCGAGGCAUGCAGGCUGCUUGAAUUGGAUUGCUCACUGAAUGUAAUGAGGUUUCAUGGCGGGUCUACGAUGAGCGUGCCGGCACAACUCGAGGCCUGGACCACUCAACGUGAUAGAGCCCGAGGUAUGCUUCAGGCCUUUGGUACGCGGACGGAGUACGAGGAUUCCUACGGAUCGUCGCAAGCGUCGACGUCGGUUCCUUGUGGUCCCGCAUGGCAGCAGCCUCCCUUAUACCAUCGACAGGUAGAAGGAUCACAACAGUUCACCGGAGCGGGGCCGUCUUCGUAUCACCCUAUGCCGUCACCAGGAGGAUAUGAAGGACCUUCUUCCUAUCCACCACCACCACCUCCUCCAACACAGGGGUGGUCUGAAGACAACACCGCGGCCUCCUUGGACGAGUUUACACGGUUGUUUGCUACGCCUGCCCAGGACGAUGAUCCCAGCUUGCAUACACCUCUGGCUCAGUUACGCCUUCCUGCCAGAAACGUGGGGCCACCGGAACGUCAUAGCUACCCUACAGAUCACGUACACGCACAACGUAAGAGAGGUCGGAAUGGUAGGGGUCGUUAGUUGUUUCCACUUGUUUCUCCAGCGGCAUUAUGGACUGUUUCGACUGUUCGGAUUAUGAUUGUUUAUGAUUGUGGUAGUUUACUUGUCAUUUGUUUCUA